CUCCCAGUCCCUCCCAGUCCCAUCCCAGUCCCUCCCAUAUCACUCCCAGUCCCUCCCAGCCCCCCCCAGUCCAUCCCAGUAUAUCCCAGUCCCUCCCAGCCCCUCUCAGUCCCUCCCAGUCCCUCCCAGUAUAUCCCAGUAUAACUCAGUCCCUCCCAGUAUAUCCCAGUAUGACUCCCAGUCCCUCCCAGUAUCACUCCCAUUCCCUCCCAUUCCCUCCCAGUCCCUCCCAGUCCCUCCCAGUAUAUCCCAGUAUGACUCCCAGUCCCUCCCAGUCCCUCUCAGUCCCUCCCAGUCCCUCCCGGUAUAUCCCAGUAUGGCUCCCAGUCCCUCCCAGUGCCCUCCCAGCCCCUCCCAGUCCCUCCCUGUAUAUCCCAGUCCCUCCCAGUAUCACUCCCAGUCCCUUCCAGUCCCUCCCAGUAUAUCCCAGUAUGACUCCCAGUCCCUCCCAGUCCCUCCCAGUAUGGCUCCCAGUCCCUCCCAUGCCCUCCCAGCCCCUCCCAGUCCCUCCCAGUAUAUCCCAGUCCCUCCCAGUAUGACUCCCAGUACCUCCCAGUCCCUCCCAGUAUAUCCCAGUAUGACUCCCAUUCCCUCCCAUUCCCUCCCAGUCCCUCCCAGCCCCC
ensembl:lncRNA